rnacentral:rRNA from 1 species
UGGGGAAUAUUGCACAAUGGAGGGAACUCUGAUGCAGCGACGCCGCGUGAACGAAGAAGGCUUUCGAGUCGUAAAGUUCUUUUAUAUGGGAAGAUAAUGACGGUACCAUAGGAAGAAGCCCCGGCUAACUACGUGCCAGCAGCCGCGGUAAUACGUAGGGGGCUAGCGUUGUCCGGAAUCACUGGGCGUAAAGGGUUCGCAGGCGGAAAUGCAAGUCAGGUGUAAAAGGCAGUAGCUUAACUACUGUAAGCAUUUGAAACUGCAUAUCUUGAGAAGAGUAGAGGUAAGUGGAAUUUUUAGUGUAGCGGUGAAAUGCGUAGAUAUUAAAAAGAAUACCGGUGGCGAAGGCGACUUACUGGGCUCAUUCUGACGCUGAGGAACGAAAGCGUGGGUAGCAAACAGG